AGAGCGAACGCUGGCGGCAGGCCUAACACAUGCAAGUCGAGCGCCCGUAGCAAUACGGGAGCGGCAGACGGGAGAGUAACACGUGGGAACGCGCCCUUCGGUUCGGAAUAACUCAGGGAAACUUGAGCUAAUACCGGAUACGCCCUUACGGGGAAAGAUUUAUUGCCGAAGGAACGGCCCGCGUCCGAUUAGCUUGUUGGUGAGGUAAUGGCUCACCAAGGCGACGAUCGGUAGCUGGUCUGAGAGGAUGACCAGCCUCACUGGGACUGAGACACGGCCCAGACUCCUACGGGAGGCAGCAGUGGGGAAUAUUGGACAAUGGGCGCAAGCCUGAUCCAGCCAUGCCGCGUGGAUGAUGAAGGCCCUAGGGUUGUAAAGUCCUUUUAACGGGAGAUAAUGACGGUACCCGUAGAAUAAGCCCGGCUAACUUCGCGCCAGCAGCCGC
rnacentral:rRNA from 1 species